rnacentral:rRNA from 1 species
GACAUAGGUCGCAAACGUUAUCCGGAAUUAUUGGGCGUAAAGGAUGCGUAGAUGGUUCAGCAAGUUACUGGUGGGAAAUCGAGGCCCAACCUCGUGGAAGUUAGUAAUACUGUUGAACUUGAGUGCAGGAGAGGUUAACGGAACUUCAUGUGGAGCGGUAAAAUGCGUAGAUAUCUGGAGGAACACCGGUGGCGAAGGCGGCAUCCUGGACCAACACUGACGCUGAGGAGCGAAAGCCAGGGGAGCAAACGGG